GCCUGGGUGGCGGAACUGGUAGACGCAAGGGACUUAAAAUCCCUCGGAGCUUAGUCUCUGUACGGGUUCGAUUCCCGUCUCAGGCACCA
rnacentral:tRNA from 1 species